GGGAGGGGGGCGCCGGAGUCUGUAUGGAAUUACCUGCGCCCGCGGCGGAACUGGGUACGGCGGAUGGCCGGGCGCCGCGUCCUCGGCACUCGUGGCGAGCGCAGCCCCGGGACUGAACGCGGGGCUUCUCCGGCCGGGAGCGCAGCGUUGUGACCGGAUCGCACCGGAGGGACAGCGAGGAGGACUCCUGCGGGGAGCAGCCGUGGAAAGAGAGAAGAUGAAAGUUCCUAUUCCAAACUUGAUUCUCUUGUAUGCUACUCUAACGCAGAGCUUGAAGGUUGUGACCAAAAGAGGAUCAGGUACGGGGCUGACUUGUCUGAAGACAAAUCUUCAGCCAGAUGUCCAUGACUAUAUGAUCCAGAGUGAAUGCUGAAGACAAAACAAAGACAUAAGCAAGAAAUAAUGCAAAUUCUACCUACCUACCUGUUUGUCUACAUAUGUUUUUGUG
rnacentral:lncRNA from 1 species